AAUAAGGUGCCUGAUUAAAGGACUAUUUUGAUAGAAUAGAUAAUGUAGUAAUACUACUCUUAUUA
rnacentral:tRNA from 1 species